AGUGAACGCUGGCGGUAGGCCUAACACAUGCAAGUCGAACGAGUGGCGGACGGGUGAGGAAUACAUCGGAAUCUACUCUGUCGUGGGGGAUAACGUAGGGAAACUUACGCUAAUACCGCAUACGAUUGACUGAGCCGAUGUCGGAGUAGCUAGUUUGCGGGGUAAAGGCCCACAAAGGAGACGAUCCGUAGCUGGUCUGAGAGGAUGAUCAGCCAAACUGGAACUGAGGCACGGUCCAGACUCCUACGGGAGGCAGCAGUGGGGAAUAUUGGACAAUGGGCGCAAGCCUGAUCCAGCCAUACCGGGUGGGUGAAGAAGGCCUUCGGGUUGUAAAGACCUUUUGUUGGGAAAGCGGAACCGAAAGAAUAAGCACCGGCUAACUUCGUGCCAGCCGCCGCGUAAUUC
rnacentral:rRNA from 1 species